UACGGAGGGUGCAAGCGUUGCUCGGAAUUAUUGGGCGUAAAGGGUAGGUAGGUGGUCUCGUUUGUCUGGGGUGAAAGCCUUGAGCUUAACUCAAGAAGUGCCCCCAGAAACGGCGAGACUAGAGUCUUGGAGAGGGUCGUGGAAUUCCCGGUGUAGCGGUGAAAUGCGUAGAGAUCGGGAGGAACACCAGAGGCGAAGGCGGCGACCUGGACAAGUACUGACACUCAACUACGAAAGCGUGGGGAGCAAACAGG
rnacentral:rRNA from 1 species